GGGGAUAACUAUUGGAAACGAUAGCUAAUACCGCAUAAGAGAGACUAACGCAUGUUAGUAUUUAAAAGGGGCAAUUGCUCCACUAUGAGAUGGACCUGCGUUGUAUUAGCUAGUUGGUGAGGUAAAGGCUCACCAAGGCGACGAUACAUAGCCGACCUGAGAGGGUGAUCGGCCACACUGGGACUGAGACACGGCCCAG
rnacentral:rRNA from 1 species